rnacentral:rRNA from 1 species
AACGAACGCUGGCGGCAGGCUUAACACAUGCAAGUCGAGCGCCCCGCAAGGGGAGCGGCAGACGGGUGAGUAACGCGUGGGGACGUACUUUUUGGUUCGGAACAACUCCGGGAAACUGGAGCUAAUACCGGAUAAGCCCUAACGGGGCAAGAUUUAUCGCCGAACGAUCGGCCCGCGUCUGAUUAGCUAGUUGGUGAGGUAACGGCUCACCAAGGCGACGAUCAGUAGCUGGUCUGAGAGGAUGAUCAGCCACACUGGGACUGAGACACGGCCCAGACUCCUGGGGGAGGGGGCAGUGGGGAAUGUUGGACGAUGGGCGAGAGCAUGAUCCAGCCAUGCCGCGUGAGUGAUGAAGGCCUUAGGGUUGUAAAGCUCUUUUGUCCGGGAAGAUAAUGACUGUACCGGAAGAAUAAGCCCCGGCUAACUUCGUG